rnacentral:tRNA from 1 species
GAGAGAGACAUAGAGGCUAUGAUGUUGGCUUGAAACCAUUGUUUGGAGGUUCGAUUCCUUCCUUUCUUG